UAAAAUACCCUUAAGCAAUGAACAUCACUCUUCUUUAGAGGUUUUAGCACAAACAAAAUAUCGACAUGGCAUUUCAACCAAACAGGUGCCUAGGCAGCCUCACACAACCAAUACAAAACACACUAGCAAAAGUUCAUAAGGUCUCAUAACACACUCAGGGAAUUCAAUUACACAGAAGCACCAAUUGAUUCAAAGCAGAAAAUCAUUCUAGGGAGUGAAGUUAUUACUGAGGUGCAAAGUCAUGAAUAAUCAAGGAUUAACACAUACUUGAGUUCUAAACCCAUGAUCAUUAUCAGGCAUAGGUUACACAAGUUUCCAAAAUUUUAAUUGCUUAGAAGGCUUAAAGGUUGAUUCUGAAUCAUUCCAUGUGGCACAUCAUUUACAAAAUACUCAUAAGAGUCACAUAUACAAUCAGGAAAGGGUUGCAAAGCACAAACGAUUGACCAUAUACUCCUAUAAGCAAGUUAUUUAUAAUUUCAGCUUCAAGAAAGUCACACUAAGUAGCUUAAGGCAUUGAAAAUUGGUAAAUACAAACAUAUGCACUCAUUUACUAACUUUACUAAAGGUCCAAUACUUCAUAGGGAACCUAUUAGAUAGAGUUCCCUUUAGGUAGGUUUAAGUUAUUAAAGCAAGUAACAUAAUACUACAGCAGUCUCAGAACAGAACAAGCACAUAGUUGAGAUUUUCAUAUCACACUAAGAAUCUAUGCUAACAACUUACUCGAAAUCGGUCUUAAAGGAGUUACUACUAACAGUGAAAAUACAUGAGAGCAUUAAGAAUGAGUAGAAUGGUCAAAAUUCAGUCUCACUCAUUGAGAAUCAUGUUACUGAUAUGUUGCUUUAUCUUAGAAUAUGGGAAUGUACAAGAAAUUUUGUGGCCUUUGUUCUAUUGGAAAUUUGUCAGUGGUGAUCGUUUCACCACCAUGUGCUGUUAUGACCAUCUUUCCUUGUGAAAUAUCGAUCCUGUGUAUGGGAAGAGCAGUACUUUGAUGCUGGUUUUUGGUUUUAUUUAUCGACAGGACAUUGUUAAUUUCGAACAAAUAUCAUACCUCGGCCGAUGAAAAUAAUUCGAGUUAUUGAGGCCAUGACCCUCCAAUUGACCCUCCAAACCAGGCCUGAAAAUAAACUAGGCGAUGGCGAUAAAUUCAUCGAAAAAGAAAACACGAGAAAUGUUUGAACCAUCAAUUUAGAUGGCGGCACAAUUGGCCACCGUAGUCGCAACCAAGGAGUUUUUCAUUCUCAUGUCUGACAGAAUCAAAAAAUACAUUCGAGCCUCUAAAAACAUUUUCCAAAACUAUUUUCUAAAAAUAUUUCCAAACAAAAAUCAUUUCAAAAUAUGUCAUAUUUAAUUUAUUUUUACUUUAUAUUAUUUUACUAAUAAUUUUGUUUCUCUUAUCUUGUGAGGUAUUGUUAUAUGGAGCCUCUUUCAAAAUAUGAAGCUCGGAGGAAAAAUACAAAGACAAACCCCUGUCAAACCCCCGCUUCGUACUUCCCGUUCUCGAAUGUACUCAAAACGCAUGUAUAGUGAAACGAUAAAUAAAUGUUAUUUUUGCUACUUUACAUAUUUACCUAUUUGUCAAACACUUAGGGUAAAUCACAUCUAGUUAAUAAUCUGGUUAACUCGUAAUGUUGUACAUUAGAUAGUUAGUGAAGUUUGUAUGUAUACAUUUAUGAUGUUGAGUAAUUGUACGACUUGGCUGAUUGAUAAUGAUCGAUAUUGUAGCGAUCUGACUUGUUGUUUUGAGCUUUAGCGUUCCAUUCGGUGAUUUGAGGUCUUUAGUAGCAUCAUAUGAUGUAACACGACUUGUGUGUAUGGUUGGUUUUGAUGUUCAAGAGGUGCGGGAUAGAUUUGGAAGCAAAAAUUUCAUAUAUGGAAGCUUUAAGUUGAAGAGUUGACCAAGGUUUGACUUUUGUAUAAAUGGUCUCGAAUUCCUGUUUUGAGGGUUCCAAUACGUUCGUAAGGUAAUUUUGGACUUACGAGUAUGUUCGUAUUUGGAUUUGGAGGUUCCUAGAUUGAUUUGACUUUUUUGGGCUAAAGUUAACUAUUUGGGGGUUUAGAAAUUUCAUAAGUUUGACCAAAUAUUGACUUUGUGGCUAUCGGGUUUGGAUUGUUGUUCCGGGACUUGUAGUAGGUAUGUUGUCACGACCCAAAAUCUCUCCUUAGGAGUCGUGAUGGCACCACAACAUUUCUGUAACAACAAUUCCAAUACCACAAUCACAUAUAGCCCACGACUCAAUAACACCGAGUAUAAUAAGAAUAACAAUAACACAAGGUACAACAAGUAAAUAAAUACAAGAAUGACAACAAUGCAAUGAAACGGAAGAAUAAGCUCAACGAUGAAAGACAUACAAGUAAUAAUGACUUCAAGUAACAGUAGUUCAACAAUAAAAGAAAUAACAUGUAACACCAACUUCAAAUAAGGAUAAUCAAUUACGGAAGAGAUAACAUGUGACAAUAACUUCAAUUAAGGAUAAUCAACUACGGAAGAGAUAACAUGUAACAAUAACUUCAAUUAAGGAAACGACUAUCGAAGAGAUAACCUGUAACAGUAAAGUGGUAACAAUUACAAUUAAAUCAUGUAAGAGUAUAUUUGGCAGCAAAAGAUAGGACAUGAACCAACAACUUCAAAUAAGGCAUAUAAGAGUGAAUUCAACAAUGGAGGACAUAACAUGAUAGAGCAAUUUCAAUUUAGUGUGCUUAAGAACCCUAAGAGUCUAAACCGAUUAAAUCUCCAUAUACAAAGCCGUGUACACGCUCAUCACCUCGAGUACACGUCUUUCACAUAGUUCAAAUAGCCCAAAUAAACCAAUUCCUACGGGGUAGUUCCCCCCCACAAAGUUAGGCAAGUUACUUACCUCAAAAGCCCUCAAUAAAUAUUCUAAACUAGCUUUUCCUUUACACACCUCCGCUCGGCUUAAAUCUAACCAAAAUCAACUUAAUAACAUCAAAUAAUGCAAGAGAAAUCAAUUCCAAUAAAUAAAACUAUGGUCCUUGCAAAAUUCCUCAAAAGUCAACAAAAGUCAACCCCGGGCUCGUCCGGUCAAAUUCCGGAUCCAAAGGUAAAUUCCGACUACUCAUAACCUCAUGAGUCCAUAUAUGUAUUUUAUUUCAAAAUUUAUAAGGCCCCGUAAAAUUUCACCUAAAACUCGGGGUUUCGUGGCGCCGAGGUAAAAUAAUGUGAUUAAGGGUUGUAGAAAUUCAAGCUCGCCGCGGUACAGACUUUGUGGGUUGUACAGUACGCCGGGGAGCUGAAAGAAUCAUUUUGCAGACAUUACAUUUCUGCGGUCCACUAUGCGAUCGCAGAACCACUUUGUCGGCCGCAGAUCGGCUGCGGAGUGAAGCAGAACGUGAGCUAAUUUUGAAGACCAUUAUGCGGUCCAUUAUGCGGCCUCAUAACUAUUUUGCGGGCCGCAUAAUCCAUCAUAGAACCAGUACGAGAAGACUUCGGAUGGAGGUUCUGCGGUCCAUUAUGCGACCGCAGAUCUAUCGUAGACCUGUCCAUCCCUACCCAGUUUUUGGGACCUUUUCUGCGGUCCCCUUUGCGGUUCACAUACCUAUUUUGCAGUCUGGUCUGCGACCGCAGACCCGGCUUCGUAGAGUUUAAGUUUUGAAAAAUUUCACCCGAUCCCAUUUUUAUAAAAACAACUUGGGGUUUAUUUUGGCUGGUCCUAACUGAUAUUUUAGAGAGAGGAAAGUGGUUUAGAGUGAGAGGGGGAUUCCUAAGCUAAUUGUUCAUCAAUCUUUGCUCAAGACUUGGAGAAUCCACAAGGAAAACUCACAAGAUCUUCAUGCAAGAGGUAAGGUUCCAUACCCUAUUCUUCAAAGUUGUGGGAAGGUUGUUGAGCUCAAAAGGGUAGAUAUUGGGUUCUGGGAUAAAGGAAUCCACCAUAGGAGGACCUUGAAAUCAUAAUGAUAAAAUGCUCAAAUGAGCUGAAACCCCGAGUAUCUUUCUAAUUAUGGUCCAAUUUUGUUAUGUUUCUAAAUAGAUUGAGGUUGCUAGGAAUUCUGGAUCAUUGUAGUACUUAAGGGAUUUCAAAGCGAGGUAUGUUGGCUAAAAUCCUCUUGCAGAAUCGAAUCCAUGAUGUCCUCGUAAGUUGUAAUUAUGAUUGGCUCAAGCUCUUAUGUCUCAUGUUCCGAGUUAUUCCUUAUAAAUUUGACUUUUCCGAAUAAACUCUGUGUCGAAAGAUAUAUGUUCAAAAUGUAUUCCGAAUACUCUUAUCAUAUUGUGUUAUCCUUCGAGAUUGUAUUCAAAUGUGACCAUGUGUCGAAAUAUUAUGAAUUCAAUUAUGUCUCAAUUGCUAGUUAUUAUGCCAAAUUGUGGAAGAAAGCUCAAUGUGCCUAAGACUCUUAUUUGCUCAUAUGUGGACUAAAAGUCAUGAUUAGAGAUGCUUUGUUGUUGAUAAUCUAUGAUGAUGUUUGAAAGUGAAAUGGGUGAUCAUGACAUAUGAAAUACGGCCGACAUGCCAAGAAUGAUAUGACAUGUGUGGCCACUAGUGCUAAUGAAAUGAAAAGAUAGAGUAAAAGACUAUAGAAUAAAGCUAAAAGUCCUUAUAUAAUAANNNNNNNNNNNNNNNNNNNNNNNNNUCCACAUGGCAUUGUGGUGAGACGGCCUAUCCGAUCGGAUCGAGAUCGGACGCCAUGCCGCACACAUGGUGGUGAUUGUGCUUGAGAUUGUGAUUGAGAUAGUGAUUGAGAUUGUGAUUGUGAUUGUGAUUGUGAUUGUGAUUGGAUGUCUUUGGGUGAGACGGCCUAGCCGAUCGGGCCGUGAUCGGACUCCGUGCUAAAGAUAUGGUGGUAUAUCGGUACUAAAGAUCUCCCAACCUAAAAUAAUGUAAUUUACUUGAAAUAUUAUCUUUCUCCUAACUUGAUGUCUUCGUAUUGUUUGAGGCUCUCAUUGAUUCUAUGAUUGUUCUUCCUUGUUUUAUUACUCGUUUAAUUGAGAGGGUGUUUAGUCAUUCAUACUAGAACUAUUCCAUAUGUACUAACGUCCCUUUUGUCGGGGGCGCUGCAUCUUUAAUGGCUGCAGGUGGUUCCACAGCAGGCAGCUUUGAUCAGUGAUAGCGGUACACCCUCUUCCCAGCUGACUUUUCGGGGUCGUGUAUCUUUUGUUCCUUGUGCAUUAUGUUUUGAGGUAUAGCCCGGGCCUUGUUGCCGGCACUACCGUAGUACUCUUUUGUAUCUAUUAGAAGCACGUAGAUAUAGUGUGGGUUGUAUGUUGGUGUUGGGAAAGUCAAACUAGUAAUGUUGUAUUUGUACCACCUGUUCCACUCAAACUAUGAAAGUGUAUGUAUUUUGAGAACUUAUAAAUGAUAUAACUAAUGGUAAUGGAUUGGUGUAGCUCACAUGAUCUUCUCCUGGUCUAAUUAAUGAAAUAGAUCUUCUCUUUAUUCAUGGGUUAGUUCGGGUAGGAGGUAUUGUGCAGGCUUUCUUGGCCGGGUUAUCUCGGUUGAGCGCCAGUUGCGCUCCCCGAGGUCGGGGCGUGACAAAAUCCGAGUCCAAAUCGACUCUCAAAACUCAAAUUCUCAUUUUUCAAAAUAUAGACAAAGUUUCUCAAAAUUUCACUUUGUUUCUCAUAAUUUUGAUGUUAAAGCUGACAUAUAAUCAUGUAAAAUAGUUGGAAAUUGAUCAAAAUCACUUACCCAAUGAUUGUAGAUGAAAAUCCCUCUUCAAAAUUGCCUCAUACCGAGUCUAGGGGUUCCAAAAUAUGAAAAUAAGAUCAAAAUCCGGUCCUUGAGCUUAUAUGUCUAGUCGCAGGUUUAUUCAAUGCGACUUGGGGUCGCAAAUGCAAACCCCGCAAUUGCAAAGAAAGUUUGCAAAUGCAACAAUCAUCACACCCCUGCUACAGUCGCAAAGGCGACAUUAAAUUCGCAAAUGCGAACCAAAGACACUUCGCAAAAAGCGACCUAUCUGAUCGCAAAUGCGAACAAGCUUACCCAGGUCCCCUCAUCGCAAAUGUGAACUCUAGGUUUGCAAAUGCGAACCUAGCAUACGUAAGCCUAAUAUCCCAAAUGCGACCCCUAUAUCGCAAAUAUGAGACCUGAAGCACCUGUUCAACACUAGCAAAACUAAAACUCUUUCAAACACUCCGAAACGCGUCUGAAACUCAACCGAGCCCUCGGGGCUCCAAACCAAACAUCAGUACCAGUAUGAAAACAUAACAUGAACUCGCUCGCAUGAUCAAAUCAUAAAAAUAACAUCCACAACCACGAAUUAGACCUCCAAAAUAUAUAAAAUCAACAUGAAACUCAAGAACUUCUGAAAACACAAUCGCGCGUCCGAUUCCUAUCAAAUCAAUUCGGAAUGAUGUCAAACUUUGUAGACAAGUUUCAAAUAGCAACAUGGACCCAUUUCAAGUCCCGAAAUAAAAAUCCAACCACAAUAGCUAUGAAGUCAACCUACAGAUAAACUUAUCAAAAUUCUAAGAUUUUAAAUUGCCAACGUUUGGCAAAACAACACAAAUCAACUUACGGACCUCCGAAUUCAAUUUUGGGCAUACACCCAAGUCCAAAAUCAUGAUACUAACCUACCAGAAUAAUGAAAACACUGUUCCGGGCUCAUUUUCACAAAAGUCAAACCUCGGCCAAUAUUUCCAACUUAAGCUUCUAAAGUGAGAACCACUCAUCCAAAUUCUUCCCGAGAUAUCUGAAAUUCAAAUCCGACCAUGCACACAAGUCAUAAUAUACAAUAUGAAGCCACUCAAGACCUCGAACCAGUAAAUGGAACCUUAAGACACAAAAUGACCGAUCGAGUCGUUAUAUCCGUUUUAUUAUUUACAACUUGUGUGCAAAUGUUUGGUGUCAUCCCAAGUUGGUUUGGUAAGAAUCAAACGCUUGAUUGUGAAUAUUGACGUUCUUGAGUUUCAUAACUUGCAUGAUGCAUUUUGGUCUUCAAUUUAUGGCUUUAUAUGUUAUUUUAAUGAUCCGAGCACGCAAGCGAGUUCGUAUGAGGUUUAUGUACUUGUUGGUAUGAUUGAUCAGGGUCCCACGGGGCUCGGAUGAGUUACAUGAUGAAUUCAUAUGGUUUAUACUGUAACGACACGGCCGGUCAUUUUGAGUAUUGCAACCUCAUUUCCCCAUUUAUUGCUUAUUUUAUGUUUGUUUGUUGUUAUGUGACUUAUCGGGGUAGUUGGUUUAGUUCCGGGGAUGUUUUAGAAUGAAUUGGGACACUUAGUCUCAAGGUUGGAAGCCUAAGUUGAAAGAGUUAACCUUAUAUUGACUUAUAUGUAAAUGACUCCGGAAUGGAGUUUUGAUGAUUUUGAUAGCUUUGUAUGGUAAUUUUGGACUUAGGAAUGUGUCCAGAUAUUGAUUUGGAGGUCCGUAGGUGAUUUUGGCUUGAAUUGGCGAAAGUUGGAAAAGUUGAAGUUUGGAGAGUUGAAAUGUUUGACCGAGAGUUGACUUUGUGGUUAUCGGCCUUCGAUUUUUGUUUCGAAAGUUGGAAUAGGUCUGUUGUAUCAUUUGUGACUUGUAUACAAAAUUUGGGGUUUAACGGAGUUGAUUUGGUGUAUUGCGACAUUGGUUUUAGAAGUUGGAAGUUCAAUAGUUCACUAGGCUUGAAUUGGGACGCGAUUUGUGUUUUCGAUGUUGUUUGAUGUUAUUUGAGGGUUAAACUAAGUUUAUAUAAUAUUUUAGGAUGUGUUGGCAUGUUUGGGUGGGGUCCCGGGGCCUCAGGUAAGUUUCAGGUUGAUUGCAGAUUGAGUUUGGCCUUGUACAGCUGCAAAUUUUCUGGUAUCUAGUUUCCUUAUACAUGUUCGCAAGAGAGGUAUCGCAUUCUCAAAGAGUAUCUAGGUGGCAGGUGAAGUUUUUUCUUUGCGUUCGCGAAGAAGGCCAUGCGUUCGCGAAGGUACAAUGUGUUUGUGCAUAGAAGGAUGAGCUAUGUGGGGCACCAGGCAUGUAAGCCUUCGCGUUCGCAGGAGUUGGUUUGCGUUCACGUAGGCUUGUGUUCAUUGGUCAUCGCGAUUGCGAGGGAGGUAUCGCGUUCGCGUAGGAGGGUUUUGGGCAGCUGAAGAUUUUGUACUUCGCGAACGCGAGGCACUUUCCGCAUUUGCGAAGGACAUCUGGGCAGCUGAUAUUUAAUUUCAAAAUCAAUGGUUUGGACCCAUUUUUCAUAUUUUGAUCUAGAGACCUCGGUUUUGGGUGAUUCUUGAAGGGAUUUUAAAGGAGUUGAUUGGGGUAAGUGAUUCUAACUCGGAUUUGGUUAAUAUACAUGAAUCUAUAAUUGUUUUUACCAUUUAAUUAGUGUUUGGGGUUGGAAAAAUUGUGGAAAAUUGUAGAAACUUCAUAAACUAUAUUUUGAGGAUUUGAAAGGCGAUUUUGAGGUCGGAAUUGGAUGAUUUUGGUAUGGUUGGACUCGUUAUUAAGUGAGUAUUUGGAUUUUAUAAAUUUUAUCGGAUUCCGAGACGUGGGCCUGGGGUUGGAUUUUCGGGUUGACUUUUUGACUUUGGUUAAAGAACUUAGCUUCAUCAUAUGGAAUCGAUUCCUAUUGCUUGUAUUGAUUGUACUAAGUUAUUUGUGGGUAGAUUCAAGUCGUUCAGAGGUCGAUUCGCGAGGCAAAGGCUUGUUGGAGCAGGGAUUUAUGCGGUUUGAGGUAAGUAACACUUCUAAACUUGGUACUGGGGUUAUGAAUCCCUGAACUACGUGUUAUGUAGUUGGUGUUGAGGUGACGCACAUACUAGGUGACAGGCGUGUGGGCGUGCACCAUGGUAAUUGUGACUUAGUUGAUUCCGUGGUACUAUGUAGUUAUCCAAUCUUGUUGAUAUUCAUGUGAUCUCCAUGUGUUAGGGAAAUUGAGAUAUGAUCCAUGCUAGAAAUCAUGUUUAGGCUAUAUGCUGACACUGUUGGGAUCCACUGAGGUCAUUUCUACUGUUGAGUUAUUUGCUUAAAUUGCAAUUAUGUACUCCGUCACAUUCAUUAUUUGCAUAUCAUAUCUCAGUCUCUGUUAUUAUUUAUUGUUACAUCAUGUAUCAUUGUUUGCGCUGAUUGGCAUGAGAUUUGUGAGCCCGAAUGAUUGGAGAGAUUGAUGACUGAGUGAGGCCGAGGGCCUGAUUGUGAGUGAUAUUUAUGGAAUCGGGCUGCACGCCGCAACAUACCAUGUUGGAUUAUAUUAGCUGUAAUGACCCGACCGGUCAUUUUGAGCUCUAGCGCAUCGUUCAGCGGUUUGAGGCCUUGAGUAGCUUCACUUCAUGUUUUAUGACUUGUGCGUGUGGUCGGAAUUGAAUCUCGGGAAGUUCGGAGUUGAUUUGGAAAGAAAAUUCUAAAUUCGGAAGCUUUAAGCUUGAAGGAUUGACUAAGGUUUGACUUUUGAGUAAACAACAUCAGAAUCAGGAUUUUAAGGUUCCAAUAGGUUCGUAUGUUAAUUUCGGAUGUGGGCGUAUGUUCGGGUUGAGUAUCGGGUGGCCCAGAAGCAUUUCAGCGCUUAUUGUAGAAAGUUGGCAUUUUUGAAAGUUUUGGAAUUUCAUAAGUUUGGUUUGAAGUGGAUUUUGAUGUUAUCGAUGUCCACUUGAGGUUCCGAGCAUGGGAAUAGGUUCGUAUUGUGAUUUGUGACUUGUGCGUAAAAUUUGAAGUCAUUCCGGAUUGAUUUGGUACGUUUCGGCACAAGAUAUAGAAUUUGGAAAUUUGAAAAUUUAUAAGUUGAUUUGAGGUGCGAUUCAUAAUUUCAACAUUGUUUGGCGUGAUUUGAGGCCUCGACUAAGUUCGUAUUGAAUUUUGGGACGUGUUGGUAUAUCUGGUUAAGGUCCCAAGGGCCUCGGGUGAAUUUCGGAUGGUUAACGAAUCGAUUUUAGACUAAGGAAAUGCUGGAAUUUUUCUGGUUGCUGGUGCGAUCGCUUCUGCGGAAGUUGGGUCUUAGAAGUGACAUUGCAGAAGUGAGGAUCACGUCACAGAAGCGAGGAUCGUGUCGCAGAAGCGAAGAAGGCUGGCUGGGAAAGGCUUCACAGAAGCGAAAAAUGGAACGCUUCUGCGGCUUCACAGAAGCGACAGAGUGGUCGCAUAAGCGAGCUGGAGCGCAUAUGCGGCUAUGGCUUCGCACCUGUGGUUGCACAGAAGUGGAAAGGAGUCCGUUGGUGCGAUGGGACUGCUGACCCAUGGACUCCACAGAUACGCAUUUGUCAUCGUAGAAGCGACUUCGUAGAUGCGAAGAUUUUGUCCGCACAAGCGGAAACUGGGCAGAACAUAAGGGAUCGAACUUGGUCAUUUCGUCAUUUUCAUUUGGGAUUUUUGGAGCGCGGUUCCUGGGUGAUUUUGAGGAGUUUUCAUCAUGCAACACUAGGUAAGUAAUUUCCCACUUGUUGUGAGCUAAAUGUAAGGUUUAUAUGUGGAUUUAAGGAGGAAAAUUUAGGAAAAUUGUUUGAUUUUAUCAGAAAAACCUAGAAUUGGUAAUUUUGGAUUUUGAUCACGAUUUUGGAAAUAGAAUUAGGAAUAAAUUAUAUAUUUGAGUUUGUUAUGUUAUGGGUAAAGUUUAUCUUCGAGAAAUUUCGGAAUCCGGUCACGUGGGCCUGAGAGUUGAUUUUUAUUGACUUUUCGAACGAAGUGGGGAAUUGUUAUAAAUUGAUUAAUUAUGGGUAAUAGAGUAUAUAUUUAUGGAUUUGCACAUUGUUUGACUAGUUUGGGAUCGACGAGCAUCGGUUUGAGGUGCUAAAGAGCCUUUUGAGCCGGUUAUGGAACUUCAGAGCGAGGUAAGUCUCCUGUCUAACCUUGUGAGGGGGAAACUACCACCUAGGUGAUAUUUAUUGUUAUGUGCAACUCAUUGUGGGUGCUACGUACGCACGAAAUGACGAGAUUCCAUAUGUAGCUAAAGUAUGUUUAUNNNNNNNNNNNNNNNNNNNNNNNNNNNNNNNNNNNNNNNNNNNNNNNNNNNNNNNNNNNNNNNNNNNNNNNNNNNNNNNNNNNNNNNNNNNNNNNNNNNNNNNNNNNNNNNNNNNNNNNNNNNNNNNNNNNNNNNNNNNNNNNNNNNNNNNNNNNNNNNNNNNNNNNNNNNNNNNNNNNNNNNNNNNNNNNNNNNNNNNNNNNNNNNNNNNNNNNNNNNNNNNNNNNNNNNNNNNNNNNNNNNNNNNNNNNNNNNNNNNNNNNNNNNNNNNNNNNNNNNNNNNNNNNNNNNNNNNNNNNNNNNNNNNNNNNNNNNNNNNNNNNNNNNNNNNNNNNNNNNNNNNNNNNNNNNNNNNNNNNNNNNNNNNNNNNNNNNNNNNNNNNNNNNNNNNNNNNNNNNNNNNNNNNNNNNNNNNNNNNNNNNNNNNNNNNNNNNNNNNNNNNNNNNNNNNNNNNNNNNNNNNNNNNNNNNNNNNNNNNNNNNNNNNNNNNNNNNNNNNNNNNNNNNNNNNNNNNNNNNNNNNNNNNNNNNNNNNNNNNNNNNNNNNNNNNNNNNNNNNNNNNNNNNNNNNNNNNNNNNNNNNNNNNNNNNNNNNNNNNNNNNNNNNNNNNNNNNNNNNNNNNNNNNNNNNNNNNNNNNNNNNNNNNNNNNNNNNNNNNNNNNNNNNNNNNNNNNNNNNNNNNNNNNNNNNNNNNNNNNNNNNNNNNNNNNNNNNNNNNNNNNNNNNNNNNNNNNNNNNNNNNNNNNNNNNNNNNNNNNNNNNNNNNNNNNNNNNNNNNNNNNNNNNNNNNNNNNNNNNNNNNNNNNNNNNNNNNNNNNNNNNNNNNNNNNNNNNNNNNNNNNNNNNNNNNNNNNNNNNNNNNNNNNNNNNNNNNNNNNNNNNNNNNNNNNNNNNNNNNNNNNNNNNNNNNNNNNNNNNNNNNNNNNNNNNNNNNNNNNNNNNNNNNNNNNNNNNNNNNNNNNNNNNNNNNNNNNNNNNNNNNNNNNNNNNNNNNNNNNNNNNNNNNNNNNNNNNNNNNNNNNNNNNNNNNNNNNNNNNNNNNNNNNNNNNNNNNNNNNNNNNNNNNNNNNNNNNNNNNNNNNNNNNNNNNNNNNNNNNNNNNNNNNNNNNNNNNNNNNNNNNNNNNNNNNNNNNNNNNNNNNNNNNNNNNNNNNNNNNNNNNNNNNNNNNNNNNNNNNNNNNNNNNNNNNNNNNNNNNNNNNNNNNNNNNNNNNNNNNNNNNNNNNNNNNNNNNNNNNNNNNNNNNNNNNNNNNNNNNNNNNNNNNNNNNNNNNNNNNNNNNNNNNNNNNNNNNNNNNNNNNNNNNNNNNNNNNNNNNNNNNNNNNNNNNNNNNNNNNNNNNNNNNNAUAAAAUAGGCCGAGCCUUAAACACUUGAGUUGUGGGCGAGUUAUUUGAGAAACGGUAAAGAUUAUAUUUGUUCUAUGCUCAUGUACUGUAUUGUAAACACGUGUCUCGUAAUUCGGUAAGUUCCUUCCUUUCUUAUUGAGCGGGCCGAAUGCCUCAGCAAUAUAAUAGAUGCAUCUAUGGUUCGUGUCGUUCGACCCUCGGCAGUGAACACAUUAUUCUGGAUCGGGCCAAACGACCUCGGCAGAAUCAUGCAUUAUAUCGCUUGUAGUCCGAAUAUUCACGAGAUAAACCUUCCACAGAUGCUCGUUAUUUUUAUGGUAUUACUUAUUUAUUUGGUAUUGACACUUGGCAUUUUCCGAGAUAUUACGUUAGAAUACAAGAUCGAAAAAUUUAUACUUUAAAAGAAAUAUUUGAAAGAUUAUAAAAUUUACAGAUUUACCCCACUAUUGAUGUGCACUUCAUAUAUGAUAUGAGUUUUUAUAUUGUUUUAUUGGACCUCCAGUAAGUAUCGAUGUCGACCCCUCGUCACUACUUCUCCGGGGUUAGGCUAGAUACUUACUGGGUAUGCGUUGAUUUACGUACUCAUACUGCACUUCUACACUAAAUGUGCAGGAUCUGACAGGUUCCUUUGGUGAUCAUCUUGGCGUGUAGGCGCAUCCGUUGAGGAGAAUUUAUGUGAGCUGCAAUUCAGGCUACGCAUCGCUGUCCACCGAGUCUCCAUUGUACUAUUUAUUUUAUCUUGUCUUAUUUACAUUCUGGACAGAUGUUGUAUUAUUAUUGUACUCCUUAGAAAAUGCUCAUGCACUUGUGAUACCGGGUUUUGGGGGUUCCUACAGGUUGUUCAUUAUUGUAGUACCCUAAAAAUUCUAUUUCAUACUAUUUAAUUAAUGAAAAUUAUGAUUUUAAAAUACUAAAAUGAGUAAUUAGGUUUAUCAAUUACCGUUGGCUUGCCUGAUGGCGGUGUUAGGCGUCAUCACAACCUUUAGUGGAUUUUGGGUCGUGACAGCUUGGUAUCAGAGCGUUAGGUUCACUUAGGUCUCACGAGUCAUGAGCAAGUCUAGUAGAUUCUUGCGGAUUGGUACGGGGACGUCUGUACUUAUCUUCGAGAGGCUACAUGGAUGUUAGGAGCACUUCCCUUCUUGAUUCCUCAUCAUGCGAUUUGAUUCCAUUGAAGCUUGUGCCUUUAUUUCCUUCCUACUCAAUCUUACAUGACGUGGGGCGCUUGUUAUUAGUUGGGCGUCGAGGAGUUAUAGUGGUACUGCAGACGUGGUGCAAGAUGUUUUUCCCUACGUGUUUGGGAAGGCUAUUAUCGUCGCCUUGCAGAAGGAUGUUCUGUUGUUUCGUCUCAGUAUCUGUAUUCCAUAUGGUUUUGAGACUGUGCACAGAUUGCUAUGAUGUCUAUGCGUUGUUAUCGCACAAUGUUGGUGUAAUGGUAGGGUGCUUGUUUAUGUGUCGAGGCAGUGAAUGACUUGAAAGGAGGAUUUCUCAAUGCAUGAUUUAGAGGUUCAACAUUUAAUCCCAGUGAAGGAAAGGCAAUCGAACUAUAGAUGUCCAAGUUUGGUUGAUGAAGUAACGAGAGUUGAUAUUUUGAGUGUGGUGGAAUUCUCAUUCGUGAUGUGGUGCCGCCUUCCUUGUUUGAACGCAUUAAGGUUCGUUGGUGUUAUAAUUUUCUUCAAUUUUUGCCUUCGGGGCAGGGUGUUGUGAAGUGGUGCCUAAGAAGUGGUUGUCAGAGAUAGCAGAGUGUAGCGGUUUCAGAAUCAAAUUGGUAUAUCUAAAGUUGAUGGCUCAAGAAAGAUGAUCUUCUAGGAGUUUUAGAGUUGGUAGCAGUUCAUUAGUUCAGGUGCUACAUGUAUGGUCUUGAUUUGGGGCAAUAUUUGGACAGCGAAGGAUGAGGAAGGACAUGGCGGGGGGUGUCUCGUGAUGGUCAAAUUACUAGCAGGUCAAGUAUGAAGAGAAGAGGUCGAGAAGUUGCUUAAAGGAGGUGGUUUAACCGAUGUGGGAGUGCUAGAGUAGCAUAUGGAUUCUGCGGUAGGAAAGCCACUUGCCUUGAGGAAAGCUUAGAGAGAUUUGGGAAUCAUGGUGGAUAAUGGCUAAGCCUAUGCAUUUCAUUUGGGAUGGUGGCUGCUGUACGAAGAAAGAUUGAGUAUGGCAGAAAGGCAUUUGCUUGAAAUGAAGAGGGGUGUGAAGAUUUGAUUAUCAUUUCGGAUGUAACAUGACUUUGAGUUUGGAAGGUAUUGUUGGACUUUCAAUUGAUGUCAAUGGGGAAGGAACAUGCUUGUACAGCUGGUGGACGAGCAUGGGCUCAGGAGGGUUUACUGAACUCGUGGUAGUUGUACCCGGUGAAGUGUCAUUGGAAGAUGUCAACAUGGAAUACCAUAUGUGGGUUAUCUCCUGUGAACAGGUUAUCGGUUGCGUGAUUUUGAUGAGGUUUCUACGAAGAGUUCUACUAAGUACCCAAUAGAAGGUCGAGUAUGCGAUCGUGGCCGAUAAUUCAGAAUGUUUCAUGAAAAGCUUAACAAAAGACUUCGAGAAAUUUGGCGAGUUAACUGUGCGAGAUCAUGGUAAUUGAGAAGGAGGAAUCGUUGUGGGCUCUACAUUAUGUGAUGGGAGGUUAAAGCUAAGUGGGGGAGCCCACCGUCUGCGAUUGGAUCGUGUGGUUGUCUACUUGUGCAGUUUCUGGUUAUCGAUGCAUUGGUGGAUUAUUUAUGACUAAGAAAAGAAAAUAUCAGGAGUAAUUCGAUCAAGGAACUUGAUGAAUGUGUGCUAUACUUUUCCUUAUCAAUUAACGUACAGGUUUUGGGAAGACUCAGAGUUUAUGCUUCUUGUGGAUGUAAUGUACAAGGAAAAGAAUUCAGCCGGCUGCUUCUUUGAGAGGGUAUUCCUGUGCUAGCAGAGCAUUGAAGUUUGGUUAUAUUUGGGAUCAGGUAAGAGUGGGUGACUCUCAACAAUGGUCCUAGUGGGUUCAAGAAUUAAAAUGCAGUGCCUAAGGAUUUCAGGUCCGUUGUGCGGUUAAGGAUCAAGUUUUCAUAAUGGAUUAUGAACGGGACUUGGAAUGUUCUAUGUUAUCAUCGGGUAUGCAGUGCAGUAUUGGAGGAAAGGAAGAAAUAACUUUGGAUUCGCGGAAGGUCUUGCAGAAUGGGUGUACUAGUUGGAGAUGCUAUUGUGCGCAUAAGGAGAGUAUGAGAUGGUUCAUGAGUAUUGAGAUGAUGUGGUCUCAUGAUGCGGGUCACUAUGGAUGAGUACGGCUUUGGUUUGUUACAUUUGUGAAUGGAUCUAUUAUUAUUUUAAGGCAAGUCGAGAGUAAAUUGGAAGAAGUUGGGUUGGUUAGUAAUGAUUGAAUUAGCAUGAUUGUGGCAAAGAUCAGUUCCUUCAGCGUGUGAAGUUAUACAUGUGGUUUGUGGUUGUACGCGCGGGCUUGACAGCCACCACAACUUGAUUGAUUUGGGAAGUAUUUGAUUCAAAUGGCCUUGUGGUGUAAAUGGAUUACGGAGGAGUCAUGGCGGUUUAGAUCAUGACUUGAGGUUUGUAUUUUAUGCGGUUUGGGAAUUUAGUUGCGUGUUGCAUUGGCUCUUCUGAAAUGAGCUAAGUGAAAGGUUUCUUGCUAAUGAAGUGUUUAUUCUACUGGUAGUUCAGGGGUUAUGAUGAAUUCGUGUAUUCUCGCGUAGCGGCAUGAUAGGUGCAGUGAGCGGCAUGGAAACUUGAAAGCUGAGGAUCAAGGUUGCAGUUCGGUGCUGACAAUAAUGUCACGAGCUCGGAUAAGCAGGGGAGAAUUCAGAUGUUUAGAGUAAACUGACAUUUCCUUUAGUGUCACCUGAGAACGGUGUCCUGUGUAAGAGGCUUUGUGUAUUGAUUUGCGAACUCUUGGUUGGCCUUACAGAAUUAGCACUGUUGGUGGUAUGGAGGUGCAGACCUUGCUACCUGGUACGAAAGGUCGUGGGAGCGUAUCCCAUGGGGAAAUUGUAUAAGUGUGACAUAUUAGUCACUUGAUUGUUAAAGAUUGAAACCAAGUAUGGAGAUUCUGGUACUGUCGCUAAUGUGAGAGUUUAUGCCUGGAAGGCGCCCUAGUCCUUUGGUUGUGAACCGUGGGAGUUUGUUCCGGAUUGAGAUGACUUGGUUAUUCGCACAUGUGUUGUGGUCCCGUGUAGCUUGUGGUAUUAUAUGAACAGGAUGGCUCUCGAGAUGCAGAUCAUAUAUCGCACCUUAGUUGUGCUUGGGUUUUGUAGCGUAUGGUGCUAUCCGUCUCCCCAGGAUUUGUAUUGUGCACUUAGCGUGCUUGUGGCCGAUGUUCGGGCAUUUUGUAAGUAGAAGCGUUACGGCUUGAUGUGUGUGUUUUCUUCUUGAUUGUUAUGUGCGGAUCGGGUGGCACGCCGCCACGGGUAUAUUGUUUGGAUCGGGUGGCACGUCGCCACAGGCAUGUUGUGUGGAUCGGGUUACAUGCCGCAAAAGUGUCAUAUUGGAUCGGGUUGCACGCUGCAACAGUGAGAUGUUGAGCAUAGUUCCUUACACUUAUUUUGUGCGCCUUGUUUUCAUAGCAUCUAUUCGGCCAUUUUAUUUGUUACGCAGGCUGGGUAAUUCCCUGUCAGAGUUAGUUUUUCCUUAUGAGUUAUAUUCAAGUGGUGGCUUGUUGGCGCUUUGAUGGUGCUAUAUAAGAUCUUGGUCAGUGUUUGAGGUGACUCAUUGCCUGAGCAGUUUGUACUGGGUGAAACAAGAUUAUUGGACCUGAAAUUAGUGCAAUCAGAUUCAUAUAAGGUACAUUAAAGAGAAAUUAUCGUUAUUCAGUUCAGAAUGAGGUAAUGGUUCUUAUCAGGAGGAGAGACUCCAUGAUUUAUUUAUUUGUCAGGAGGUUAUGAGUUUCUACAUGUCUCUUUCAUCGUGGAAGUAUUGCGAGAAUUCGAACAGAGCUGACAUGUGUUAUGAGGCGUGUUGCGGGCAUCAGAUUCGUAAGAUUUCAGCUGUUGUGGUCGGAGGAUGUAUUAUGGGCAUGUGAAUUAUGCGGUGCAUGGUGUGAAUUCAGCAAAGGUGUACGAUCAUGUUUUGGUACAGUGUGUAGUGAUUGAUACGGUGUUCGUAUGUUAGAAUCCGAUUUUGUAGAGAAAUUCGGAGGUUGGAAUUUUGUUUUAAGGCUUUUCGACUAAAUAGAAGGGAGAAUCUUCAGUCUGGCUCUAGCUAAUGUGUUCAACUGGGUUGUGGUGGCACGGGAAGGUGAACGAGGUGUUAAACAGUGAUUUUGGACAACUCCAGAGUAGUUCCUAGCACGUUCGAGGACGAACGUAUAGCACCCCGAAACAUUUCGAAGUACUUAAGCGCUAUUAAGGAAGUUGAUGGGUGCUAAUUAUAUUAUUUUGUGUGCAGAAGAGGGAUAUUAAUAUGAUGGAUAUCAAUUGGAUAUGAUAAUAAGUGUACGAGGCAUAUUAUAAGUGAUGUGGGGUCUAAGGAUAGGCCUAAGUCUAAGCCAAGUUGGAAAAUUACAUGAUAGACUAAAGUUCCAAAUGAGUACGGACAAGAUCAAACUUUGGACGCGCAUAUCUACAUAUAUAUAAAGAUUUGUGUGAUGAACAACCUAUCAAAUUAAAGAUCUUCGAGUCUAGUUUUCAACGCUUCAAAUCGUUCGUCAUUUGGACACUCCUACAAGAAGUUAUGACCAAAUUACCAAAGAUUGGCAGAAGGUGACACUACCGCGCCGCCCCAUGCGGCGCCCCAUGUGGCGCGCCUGUGGGGAUUUCCAGAACACUUCAAAAUUUCAUUUCUAGGCACAUUUUUCACUACCAGGCUGCGCCCCGUGGCACCCCAUGCAGCGCGCUAUGCAAAUUUCAGGGUUUUUACGACCCGACCCCAUUUUAAUAAAUAGCCUUUGGGGCUUAUUUUUGGGCGAUUAUCUGAUGAUUUUAGAGAGAAGUGAGAGUGUUUUAGAGAGAGGAAGAAGCUCAAGUGCUAUGUUCAUCAAGAUCUUGUCCAAGCUUUGAAAUCCAACAAGAAAAUCUCACAAGUUCUUCAUCUAAGAGGUAAGGUUUCAUACCCUAGUUUUCAAUUUCGAAUUUGGGUAGAAGAUGUUUGAUUGAGAGUAUGUUUCUUGGGUGUAAGAGUAUUAUUUUUACAUGCAUGUACCAAUAAGAUUUCUGGGAAGAUUGUUGAGCUCAAAUAAGUAAAGAUUGGGUUGUGGAAUGAAGGAAAUCUUGUAGAAGAACCUUGUAGUCAAAUUUGCACACCAAGUGUUUGAUGAAAUGCUCAAAUGAGCUGAAACCAUGAAUAUCUUCCUAAUUUGUGUUCAAUAUUGUUGUGUCUCAAAAUAGAUUGGGAUUGCUAGGAUUUCCGAAAUAUUGUAGUAAUUUAAGGAAAGCUCAAAGCGAGGUAUGUUGUCUAAACUACUCUUUUAGAAAUGAAUUCCAUGAUCUUCCCGUAAGUUUCAAGUAUUGUUGGCUCAAUUUCCUAAUUUCCAUGUUUCGAGUUGUUCCUAAUAAAUUCGAUUAUCCCUAGUAAGCAAAGUGUUGAAAGAUGUAUGAAUUCAAAAUGUGUUCUGAAUGUUCCUAUCACAUUAUGUUAUCCUUCGGUAAUGUGCUCAAGAAUGAUAUGUAUACUAAAAUGUUAUGGCUUUGAGUCGUGUUUCAAACUAAAGCCAGUAUGCCAACUUGUGUGAGAAAAACUUGAUAUGCUUAAUACUCUUAAUUACUCAUAUGUGUACCUAAAUUCUUGAUUGAAAAUGUCUUAUUAUUGAUAAUCUAUAAAGAUGGUUGGAAGUGAAAUCAGUGAAUUGGGGAUAUAAAGUGUGGCCAACGCGCCAAGAGUGAAAGUUAUACUUGUGGACAAUGGUGCUAAUGAAAUGAGAUGAUGUGAGAAAGAUUAUGAAAUGAGCUUUGAUUCAACUGUUCCAAAAUUGACUUCGAAAAUAGAAUUGCCUAAAAGCUUAUGAACUCAAGUGAUGCCCGUAUGUGGCUGUUAUAACUAAUGUUAUGCUUUGUAAGUAGUUUCGAUGUGUUUUGCGUUCUUACAUAUUCGUGAGUUGAAAUUGUGUAUUUUCCUUUUUGGGGAAAAGUAUUUCAAGAAUAAAUAAUGUGUUACUUGGUUAUGAUUUUAAUUUGUGCUUCGAUUGCCAAUCAUUUUACUCCAUUUCUUGGAAAGAAAUCUAUUGUGUUUAAAGCCUUCAUUACUAAUGAACCUAAAGUUGUGAUUUCCAGAAUAUUCUAUUUAUUGAUAUUUAUGAUGAUGAUCCAUGAAAGAGAAGAAAUGAAAGUGUGGAAUAUGAAAUACGGCCAUUGUGCCAUGAAUGAAGAAUCAUAUGUAUGGCCAAGAGAGCCAAUGAAAUAAUGAUGUUGAAAAUUGUUGAAAGUGCCAAUGAAGAUAUACGAUAUAAAAGGUUAUGAGGUAAAUGCAUUUGUAUUGUUGUUUCGUUUUAUUCAAAUCAAUAAUAUUUUUGGGAGUAUUGAUAGUCACCGAGGAAGGGUAGGUUGAAAUAACCUAACCCCGAAACUACACGUGCCGGUGUAGGAGUGGAUUGUGAUUAUUCCCCUUAUUUGGGAUGACGAUUGAUGUGAUAAAAUUAUUUCCUUAAUUGGGAUGAGAUGAUUGAUAGAAAUGGAGGAUGUCGAUCCACACGNNNNNNNNNNNNNNNNNNNNNNNNNNNNNNNNNNNNNNNNNNNNNNNNNNNNNNNNNNNNNNNNNNNNNNNNNNNNNNNNNNNNNNNNNNNNNNNNNNNNNNNNNNNNNNNNNNNNNNNNNNNNNNNNNNNNNNNNNNNNNNNNNNNNNNNNNNNNNNNNNNNNNNNNNNNNNNNNNNNNNNNNNNNNNNNNNNNNNNNNNNNNNNNNNNNNNNNNNNNNNNNNNNNNNNNNNNNNNNNNNNNNNNNNNNNNNNNNNNNNNNNNNNNNNNNNNNNNNNNNNNNNNNNNNNNNNNNNNNNNNNNNNNNNNNNNNNNNNNNNNNNNNNNNNNNNNNNNNNNNNNNNNNNNNNNNNNNNNNNNNNNNNNNNNNNAGGUUUUGGUGAGCCCUACUCUAUUCCAGGCUUUAUGUCAUCUGACGUUGUAUUUUGUACUAUGGGGUAUAGCCGGGACCUUGUCGCCGACAUUUCCAUUCUUCACUUCUGUUGUACUUAGAGGCUUCAUAGACAGGUUGUGGCUUGUAGUCGAUGUUGGGAAUUGAACUAGAAAUGUUGGUAUUUGGCAGACAUAUUUUUUAUUAUAUCUAUAAAUUUAUAAUAUUUUGGAAAUUGUGAAUGAAGUUGCUAAUGGAAAUGAAAUAGGAGUUGAUAAUGAAAUCUUAUUAGUGUUUCAUUAAUGGAGUACAUCUCCUCUUUAUUCAGGGUUGAAUUUGGGUAGAAUGAAAUCUAACAGGCUUGCUCAGCCGGGUUUACUCGGUUGAGCGCCGGUCGCGCUCCCCGAGUUUGGGGCAUGACAAACUUGGUAUCAGAGCCUAAGGUUUUAAAGUGUCCUAGGAUGUCUCGGAGCCGUGUGUAGUAGAGUCCUUCUUAUCGGUGUGUUGUCGACCAAAUCUAUAAUGAGGAGGCUACUUGGACAUUUAGGAAUUUCACACUUCUUUGGUACUCCAGAUCGUGCGAUAGAGCUCAAGAUAGGAAGCUAAUUUCCUCGUCAUGUCUCAUUUGCCAUAUGAGUAACCCACGGGUUCGAGGCAGCGAGGAGGUAUUGAAAGAACAAGUUACUAAGGGAAGUGUCCUUGUCCCUAUUAAUGUUAUCGUGCCACCUGAUCAUGUGGUAAGAGCACCUAAGAAACGAAAGAGGGUUGUUUGUACCAAUAAGUAGGGAUGUUUGAUUUGUAAGAAACACCAUUUGGGUACGUGUUGAAUGACUCUUGAAAUAUGUUAUGGUUGUGGAAAGAGGGGGCACAAGAUGAACAAAUGCCCUAGGUUGGGUACACCCAUCACGGUAUGCCUGAGGUGCGGGAAGGAUCAUUUGGUGUCGUGUUGUAAGUAUGCUCAGGAGAGUGUUAGGAGUGGCAGGCUUGGGCAAUUUCAAAGGCCCACACAACAAACCAGUAUAGAGAUUAUUACUCCCGCCAUGAAGGCUUGGAGGAAGGAUAAGGGGAAUGUUUUUGAUGUAUGAAAAAGGGUAAAUAUUAGGUCGGUGGGGUGAGUCCGUUUAACAGACCUCAUCCUCGUUGUGUGAAAUGUAGGAGAUGUCAUUCAGGGGUAUGCCACUAUGGUACCAAUGUAUGUUAUGGAUGUAGAGUCGAGGGGAAUCAAUUAAUAUAUUGCCAUGUCAAUCUAAAAUCACCAUGUAAGUCACUAUUUAGUACAUCAUUAUGAACACCGCAUUAUUUUUCCUUAUUCUAUAUGUGCAUCCAUAAUGGAGAACCCUCAUAAACAUGGUCUUAACAAGACGUUGAAUCACAAAAUAUUGCAUGUACUUACUUUUUGAACGAGGCGCAUUAUUCGUGAAUCCACUCUAUCACAAAUUCGCUUAUUUACAACUUCUUGUGGAAUUGAGCUCUAUAAUUAUGUCCUUGAAUUGAGUUUAACUCUAGGACUAAUACUUCCCACUUGCUUUCCAAAAUUAUCAACAAGAGACUAUACCUGAUGAAUUUCUUAUAGAACCUUUUGAUUCAAAUGGUUAACAUGUUCUCACUUGUGCUUAUGGAUGCACAGUCAUAAAGUUUAUCUAUGUGGUAUCAAAUCCAAUGUAUAGCGGCCUAGUGUUGAGAUCCUUCUUAAGCCACUAUCUCUGGUAUACGUGGCUCCUAUGGUUGGAACAAUUACUUUACUCCUUUGUGUAUAUUUUCAUGAAUCCUUUUCACUGCCUAGUAGCAUGAGAGCAUAGCUCAACACCUAUCAUAUGUGUACCUGUCAAUUGAAAGGGGUCACUUAUCCGCAUAAAAGUUUCUAGGAAAUUUGAGAUUUUCACAAAUUCAUCGCAGGAAGAUCUUUUUGUUCGCCCAUCUCUGUAUGACUUUCAUGUCCACCUAGAUCAUGCCUCAGUAAGUAGCUCACUUUGUAACUAGUAUUGUCGUCUUCCAUGAAGUGGCCUGGUAUUGCAGCUUGAGAGUUAUUAUGGCAAAAACAUGGCUAUCUCAUAGAGAAGUGUUCAUUUUCUCUAACCAAUACAUGAUUUCAUCCCAACAUUAAGAUGUCCUAGCUAUGUGGUUUCACUCGUGAAAGAUUGAAAUUAGAUGCUUAGAGAUUAUGGCACAUAUCAUGAGUAUAUUGAUUUGAAAGACAAGUUUGUCGCAUCUCUAGUUCUCUCAUAUAGGAUCAACUAUCGGAAAGGGGUUAAGCUGUCAGAAUGAUAAUAAUCUCACAAGUGUUCAACUUCCUUUUCAUCCUCAUAGGUUUGUGGCAUAGAUUACUUGUGCUAGUUACUGUUAAUGCAAUUUCAUGCAUUUUGAAACCCAUAUCACAUUCGGGGUGCCAAAAUAUUCUUAUUUCGAGUUGAACUGAUUUUCCAUACACUCCAGGAGACAACUGGUGUCAUGUACUUGGCCAUUUCUUAUUAAGGCUUACUAUUGCCUGAACAAGGCACAUAUGGAAUGAAACAAUUGUUGUUGUCCUAUUCAUGACUCAUAGUCUUCCAAGAAUAACUGAUGCUAAUGUCUUUAUUCUUCCGAUUAUGCCUCCCAUAUGUCACAUGUCAAAGAAGAAGCAUCAUCCCGUAAUCAAAUAUAUAGGAUAGGAAAUUUUAUCGUCAUAUUCAUGCUAGCACAUCUUAGAGAAAUUGUUGGAGGUCGCCAAAGGUUUAUUUUGGGUGUUUGGCGUAGAGUUUUAGAGUUGAAGAAAGUGAACAGGUUAUUUUCAAUAUUUUCUCCAUGAGGAUGUUAUGUGAAUUUCUAAUAAGGUUAAAAUAUGUGCAGUCACAUUAGGCCUUAUGAAAUCCUGAAGGAAAUAUGCCAAACUAUGAGUAUGAUGUUUCCCUAUUAUUGUUCUCCAUGUACCUGGUGUUUCAUGUGACUGUGUCUAAGAAGGUAGUUGUAAUUCUUUGUCUAUCGUUCCGGUAAAAGCUAGUGGAGGUGAAGUAAAUGGAUAAUUAGCCUAUGAGAGGUACUUAAUUGUCAUCCUUAUUAGAUAAGUCUGGGAGUUGAGAUUGCCUCCGUGAAUGUGCUAUGGUGAAGUCUGUGAGUCGAGGAGCCCACCUCGAAGGCCGAAAUUGUCAAGGAAAGAAAAUGUUUCCACUUGGUUGUAUAGUUAAAUAAUUGGGGGUCGAAAGGCAUUAUCUAUGUGUUAUGAUUUAAAUAGGUGCAACUCAUGUCCAGGUAUCAAUUUUGAUAAUAUAAUGCUNNNNNNNNNNNNNNNNNNNNNNNNNNNNNNNNNNNNNNNNNNNNNNNNNNNNNNNNNNNNNNNNNNNNNGAUUGAGGUGUGCAGAAGAAGAGAUAAGUUAUGUUAUGUGUUUGGAGCGGACUCUACUUCUCAUUCGAGGACGAAUGAUCUUAAGUGGGGGAGAAUGUAGCACCCCGAAAACUUUUGAAGUACUUAAGCGCUAUUAAGGGAGUUAAUGGGUGCUGAUUAUAUUAUUUUAUAUACAGACGAGGGCUAUUAAUACGAUGGAUAUCAAUUGGAUAUGAUAAUAAGUGUACGAGGCAUUUUAUAAGUGAUGUGGGGUCUAAGGAGAGGCCUAAGUCUAAGCCAAGUUGGAAAAUUACAUGAUAGACUAAAGUUCCAAAUGAGUACGCACAAGACCAAACUUUGGAAGAGCAUAUCUACAUAUAUAUAAAGAUUUAUGUGAUGAACAACCUAUCGAAAAUGAAAUAUCUUCGAGUCUAGUUUCUAACACUUCAAAGCUAGCAGAAGGUGACACUACCGCGCCGCCCCAUGCGGCGCGCCUAUAGGGAUUUCCAGAACACUUCAACAUUUCGUUUCUAGGCACAUUUUUCACUACCGCGCGGCGCCUCGCGCGGCUGUGCAAAUUUCGAGAUUUUUACAACCCGACCCCAUUUUAAUAAAUAGCCUUUGGGGCUUAUUUUUGGGCGAUUAUCUGAUGAUUUUAUAGAGAAGUGGGAGUGUUUUAGAGAGAGGAAGAAGCUCAAGUGCUAUGUUCAUCAAGAUCUUGUCCAAGCUUUGAAAUCCAACAAGAAAAUCUCACAAGUUCUUCAUCUAAGAGGUAAGGUUUCAUACCCUAGUUUUCAAUUUCGAACUUGGGUAGAAGAUAUUUGAUUGAGAGUAUGAUUCUUGGGUGUAAGAGUAUUAUUUUUACAUGCAUGUACCAAUAAGAUUUCUGGAAAGAUUGUUAAGCUCAAAUAAGUAAAGAUUGGGUUGUGGAAUGAAGGAAAUCUUGUAGAAGAACCUUGUAGUCAAAUUUGCACACCAAAUGUUUGAUGAAAUGCUCAAAUGAGCUGAACCCAUGAAUAUCUUCCUAAUUUGUGUUCAAUAUUGUUGUGUCUCAAAAUAGAUUGGGAUUGCUAGGAUUUCCGAAAUAUUGUAGUAAUUUAAGGAAAGCUCAAAGCGAGGUAUGUUGUCUAAACUACUCUUUUAGAAACGAAUUCCAUGAUCUUCCCAUAAGUUUCAAGUAUUGUUGGCUCAAGUUCCUAAUUUCCAUGUUCUGAGUUGUUCCUAAUAAAUUCGAUUAUCCUGAGUAAGCAAAGUGUCGAAAUAUGUAUGAAUUCAAAAUGUAUUCCGAAUGUUCCUAUCACAUUAUGUUAUCCUUCGAAAAUGUGUUCAAGAAUUAUAUGUGUACUAAAAUGUUAUGGCUUUGAGUCGUGUUUCAAAUGAAAGCUAGUAUGCCAACUUGUGUGAGAAAAACUCGAUAUGCUUAAGACUCUUAAUUACUCAUAUGUGUACCUAAAGUCUUGAUUGGAAAUGUCCUAUUGUUGAUAAUCUAUAAAGAUGGUUGGAAGUGAAAUAUGUGAAUUGGGGAUAUAAAGUGUGGCCAACGUGCCAAGAAUGAAAGUUAUACUCGUGGCCAAUGGUGCCAAUAAAAUGAGAUGAUGUGAGAAAGAUUAUGAAAUGAGCUUUGAUUCAACUGUUCCAAAAUUGACUUCGAAAUAGAAUUUCCUAAAAGCUUAUGAACUCAAGUGAUACCCGUAUGUGGCUGUUUUAACUAAUGCUAUGCUUUGUAAGUAGUUUCGAUGUGUUUUGCAUUCUUACAUAUUCGUGAGUUGAAAUUGUGUAUUGCCCAUCUUNNNNNNNNNNNNNNNNNNNNNNNNNAUGGCCAAGAGAGCCAAUGAAAUAAUGAUGUUGAAAGUUGUUGAAAGUGCCAAUGAGGCUAUAUACGGUAUGAAAGGUUAUGAGGUAAUUGCAUUUGUAUUGUUGUUUCCUUUGUAAGAAAAUCAAUAAUAUUUUUGGGUGUAUCGAUAGUCACCGAGGAAGGGCAGGUUGAAAUAACCUAACCCCGAAACUACACGUGCCGGUAUGGAGUGAAUUGUGAUUAUUCCCCUUAUUUGAGAUGAGAUUGAUGUGAUAAAAUUAUUCCCCUUAAUUGGGAUGAGAUGAUUGAUAGAAAUGGAUGAUGUCAAUCCACACGACAUUGUGGUGAGAUGGCCUAGCCGAUCGGGUCGUGAUCUGACACCAUGUCGCACACAUGGUGGUGAUUAUGCUGGAAAUUGUAAUUGCAAUCGUGAUUGUGGUUGAUGUCUCGGAUGAGAUUGCCUAGCCGAUCGGGUCGUGAUCCGACUCCAUGCUAAAAGUACGGUGGUAUUGGUAUUGUAAAAGGUGAUAUUGUGAACAGUAGUAUAUCGGUGCUAAAGAUCUCCCAACCAAAAAUAAUAUUAUCUUCGUAUUUUGGAAAUUAUUAUGUUUUAACUUGGAAAUUGGAUAUCAUUGAUUGUUGAUUGUUGGUUCCAUGGUUUUCCCUUUUAUGUUGGCAUUCUAUUUUGAAAAAGGACAGUUAGCUUUACAUACUAGUACUAUUCCAUAUGUACUAACGUUCCUUUUUGCCGGGGGUGCUGCAUCUUCAAUGGAUGCAAGUGGUUCAUCAACAGGGCAGCUUUGGUCCUCAUUAGCAGUCACUCUUUAUUCAGCAAGUUUUGGUGAACCCUACUCUAUUUCGGGCUUUAUGUCAUCUAAUGUUGUAUUUUGUACUAUGAGGUAUAACCGGGGCCUUGUCCCCGGCACUUUCGUUUUUUACUUCUAUUGUACUUAGAGGCUCCGUAGACAGGUUGUGGGUGAUAGUCGAUGUUGGGAAUUGAAUUAGAAAUGUUGGUAUUUGGCAGAUAUAUUUUUUAUUAUAUCAAUAAACUUGUAAUAUUUUGGAAAUUAUAAAUGAAGCUGCUAAUGAAAAUGAAAUGGGAGUUGUUGAUGAAAUCUUAUUAGUGUUUUAUUAAUAGAUUACAUCUCCUCUUUAUUCAUGGUUGAAUUUUGUUAGAAUGAAAUCUAACAGGCUUGCUCAGCCGGGUUUACUCGGUUGAGCGCCGGUCGUGCUCCCCGAGUUUGGGGCAUGACAGAAUGUAUGUUUAAGUGGGGGAGAAUGUAACGACCCGACUGGUCAUUUUGAGCUCUAGCGCGUCGUUCAACGGCUUGAGACCUUGAGCAGCUUCACUUCAUGUUUUAUGACUUGUGCGUGUGGUCGGAAUUGAAUCCCGGGAAGUUCAGAGUUGAUUUGGGAAGAAAAUUCUAAAUUCUGAUGCUUUAAGAUGGAAGGAUUGAAUAUGGUUUGACUUUUGAGUAAUCGACCUCAGAAUCAGGAUUCGAAAGUUCCAAUAGGUUCGUAUGUUAAUUUCGGACGUGGUCGUAUGUUCGGGUUGAGUAUCGGGUGGUCCGGAAGCAUUUCGGCACUUAUUGUAGAAAGUUGGCAUUUUUGAAUGUUUUGGAAUUUCAUAAGUUUGGUUUGAAGUGGAUUUUGAUGUUAUCGAUGUCUGUUUGAGGUUUCGAGCCUAGGAAUAGGUUUGUAUUGUGAUUUGUGACUUGUGCGUAAAAUUUGAAGUCAUUCCAGAUUGAUUUGGUACGUUUCGGCACAAGACAUAUAAUUUGAAAAUUUAUAAGUUGAUUCGAGGAGAGAUUCGUAAUUUCAAUGUUAUUUGGCGUGUUUUGAGGGCUCGACUAAGUUUGUAUUGCAUUUUGGGACAUGUUGGUAUAUUUGGUUAAGGUCUCGAGGGCCUCGGGUGGAUUUCGGAUGGUUAACGGAUCGAUUUUGGACUAAGGAAAUGCUAGGAUAUUUCUAGUUGUUGGUGCGAUCGCUUCUGCGGAAGCUGGGUCGCAGAAGCGAAGAUUGCAUCGCAGAAGAGAGGAAGGAUGGAUGGGAAAGGCUUCGCAGAAGCGGAAAAUAGAACGCUUAUGCGGCUUCGUAGAAGCGACAGAGUGGUCGCAUAAGCAAGCUGGAGCGCAUAUGCAGCUAUUACUUCGCACCAGCGGUUGCGCAGAAGCGGAGAGGAGUCCGCAGGUGCGAUGGGACUGCUGACCAGUGGACUCCGCAGAUGCACAUUUGUGGUCACAAAAGCGACUUCGCAGAUGCAAAGAUUUUGUCCGCAGAAGCGGAAACUGGGCAGAACAUAAGGGAUCGAACUUGGUCAUUUCGUCAUUUUCAUUUGAGAUUUUUAGAGCACGGUUCUUGGGCGAUUUUUGAGGAGUUUUCAUUAUGAAACACUAGGUAAGUAAUUUCCCACUUGUUCUGAGCUAAAUGUAAGGUUUAUAUGUGGAUUUAAGGAGGAAAAUUUAGGAAAAUUGUGGGAUUUUUGUAGAAAACCUAGAAUUGGUAAUUUUGGAUUUUGACCACAAUUUUGGAAAUGAAAUUAGGAAUAAAUUAUAUAUUUGAGUUUGUUAUGUUAUGGGUAAAGUUUAUCUUCGAGAAAUUUCAGAAUCUGGGCCGGUGGGCUCGAGGGUUGAUUUUUAUUGACUUUUCGAACGAAGCAGAGAAUUGUUAUAAAUUGAUUAAUUAUGGGUAAUAGAGUAUAUAUUUAUGGAUUUGCAUAUUGUUUGACUAGUUUUGAAUUGACGGGCAUCGGUUUGAGGUGCUAUAGAGGCUUUGGAGCCGGCUAUAGAACUUCGGAGCGAGAUAAGUCUCCUGUCUAACCUUGUGAGGGGGAAACUACCUCUAGGUGAUAUUAAUUGUUAUGUGCAACUAGUUGUAGGUGCUACGUACGAGGUGACGAGAGUCUGUACGUAGCUAAAGCAUGUUUAUGUCCGGGUAGACUUAGAGCUUUAUCAUGUAAUAAUUAAAUUAUUUAAACUCGUUCUGCUGGCUUAAUUAAUUAAAGUUAUAACUGAAUUUGACUUAGAAAUAAAUAUAUAUAUAUAUAUAUAUAUAUAUAAUANNNNNNNNNNNNNNNNNNNNNNNNNGGUAAAGAUUAUAUUCGUUCUGUGCUCAUGUACUAUAUUGUAAACACGUGUCUCGUAAUUCGGUAACUUCCUUCCUUUCUUAUAGAGCGGGCCUAAUGCCUCGGCAGUAUAAUAGAUGCAUAUAUGGUUCAUGCCGCUCGACCCUCGGCAGUGUACACAUUAUUCUGGAUUAGGCUGAACGACCUCGGCAAAAUCGUGCAUUAUAUCGCUAAUAGUCCGAAUAUUCACGAGAUAAACCUUCCACUGAUGCCCGGCAUUUUUAUGGUAUUCCUUAUUUAUUUUGUAUUGAUACUUGGCAUUUCCUGAGCUAUUAAGGUAGAAUACAAGAUCGAGAAAUUUAUACUUUAAAAGAAAUAUUUGAAAGAUUAUGAAAUUUAUAGAUUUACCCCACUAUCGCUGUGCACUUCAUAUCUGAUAUGAAUUUUUAUAUUAUUUUAUUAGACCUCUAGUAAGUGUCGAUGUUGACCCCUCGUCACUACUUCUCUGGGGUUAGGCUAGAUACUUACUGGGUACAUAUUGAUUUACUACUCAUGGUGUACUUCUGCACUAAAUGUACAGGAUCUGACAGGUUCCUUUGGUGAUCAUCUUGGCGCAUAGGCGCAUCCGUCGAGGAGACUUUAUGUGAGUUGCAAUUCAGGCUAUGCAUCGCAGUCCACCGAUUCUCCAUUGUACUAUUUAUUUUAUCCUGUCUUAUUUACAUUCUGGACAGAUGUUGUAUUAUUAUUGUACUUCUUAGUAAAUGUACAUGCACUUGUGACACCGGGUUUUGGGGGUUCCUACGGGUUGUUCAUUAUUGUAGUUCAUGUAAAUAUUAUCGUUUACCCUGUAAAUUCUAUUUCAUACUAUUUAAUUAAUGAAAAUUAUGAUUUCAAAAAUACUAAAAUGAGUAAUUAGGUUGAUCAAUUACCGUUGGCUUUCCUGACGGCGGUGUUAGGUGCCAUCACGACCUUUAGUGGAUUUUGGGUCGUGACAUUAGCGCUUGGGCUGGAUCCGCCCCUCCGGAGUCUAACAUACUAGCAGUGAGCGCAGGUACCAUUGAGUGUUGAGUGCGAGUGUCAUGUGCGAGUGUCGAGUGAUUGAGAGUGCUGAGCGAUUGAGCGUGCUGAGUGAGGUUGAAUACUCUGAGAGCAUGAGUACAUGAGUUUAUCAUUGUGUUGCAUUACAAGUGACAUGCAUAUUUGACAUGUAGACAUAGAGAUGUAAUAUUCCUCAUGCUAGCUAUACUUGGCAUAUUUUAUCAGUAUUGAGCCUAAACUGUUGAACUUGAAAGCAUGUCUACAUUUUUGUACUGUGUACAACUGAUUAUGAGAUUUCUCUAAGUUAUUACUGUUCUUUUCCUUUCAUAUAUGUACUGUAAUUAUCUGGAUUUAGACUGUAACUAUAUGAGCCCGUCACUUCUUUCAGCCCAAGGUUAGUCCUGUUACUUAUUGAGUACAUUGGGUCAGUUGUACUCAUACUACACUCUCCACUUUGUGUGCAGAUCCAGGUAUAUCUAGACCUGGUGGUUGCUAGACUUGGAGCAUUACCUGCUUGGAGACUUUUGAGGUAGCUGCUUUGGUGUCCGCAGACCUCGACUCUCCUUAUUUUCAGUUUAUUUAGCAUUGUUCUAUCUUUCCAGACAGUUGUAUUAGAAGUUUUUGACUGUGUUGUCAUUUAGUAGCUCAUGUACUCGGUGACACCCGGAUCUUUGAGGAUUUUGUAUUUGAGUCGCAGUUAUUCCUUUCAGUUAUUUAUGAGAUUUUUACUAUUAAACUCAAUAUAUCAUAUUUUUAAAUUAAAAUACGUAGUUAUUUUAUGAUUGUCGGCUUGCCUAGUACUGUGAUAGGCGACAUCACGACAUGUUGAGAUUUGGGUCGUGACAUUUGCCUAGUUGGGAAUUCUGGUUCUGCAGCUGUCGAAUUUGCGAUGGAUAGGUUGCAAAUGAGACUAUAGUAUUUGCGAGGGGAAUCUCUCUUUGCGAAUCUAGGCGUGUGAAGCAGUUCUGCAUUUGUGAGUGUUUGUCUGCAAUUGUGAGCACGAGGUUGUUUGCUCUUGCGAUGAUUGGUUGUCUCUUUUGCGACUGUGUCCUCCGAUGGUUGGGUUAGCAUUUGCAAUUUUGGUGGUCGCAAUUGCGAGUUGCCGCUUCUGGGUGGACUUUGCUUCCGCAAAGUAUUUUGUCGCAAAUGCAACUUUGUCUUGGGUAGUUGGGUUUGCAAAUGCGGUACUUUGGUCGCAAUUGCGGUGGCCACUAUUGUGAACCUUUGGCCGCAAAUGAGAGAUCCACAACUGAUACUUAGAGGCCAUAUCAGGGUUUGAGUUCAUUUUGUCACAUAUGCAGAUUGGGAGCUCGGUUUGAGGCAAUGUUUGAGGGAGAUUUUCACAUUUAACUAUUGGGUAAGUGAAUAUCACUUAAUUUUGAUAUUAUAUCUUUAUUUCUUAUAAUAUUUUACACCAAAAUCAUAGAAAAUGAAAGAAUAUUUUGGGGAUUGUUUACUACAUUUUGAGAAAUGAAAAUUUAGAAUUUGAGAGUCGAAUUGGACUCAGUUUUGAAAACUAAUCACAUAUGGGCUUGUGGGGUUAUGGGUAGUCAGGAUUGUAACGACCCGACCAGUCGUUUCAAGUAUUACAGCCUCGUUCUCCCAUUUACUGCUCUAUUUGUGCCUUAUAGUUGUAUCAUGACCUAUCGGAUUAGUUAGUUCGGCUCUGGAGAGAUUUCGGAAUAACUUGAGAUACUUAGUAUCAUAAUGGAAAGCUUAAGUUGGAAAAGUCAACCGGAUAUUGAUUUAUAUGUAAAUGACCUCGGAUUUGAAUUCUGAUGUUUCCAGUAGCUCCGUAUGGUGAUUUUGGACUUGGGAGCAUGUCCUGAAAAUUAUUUGGUGGUCCGUAGUGGAAUUAGGCUUGAAAUGGCAAAAGUCAAAGUUUUUGAAAAGUUUGAUAGGGGGGUUGACUUUUUGAUAUCGGGGUCAGAAUCCGAUUCUAAAAAUUGGAAUAGCUUCUUUAUGUCAUUUAUGACUUGUUUGCAAAAUUUGAAGUCAUUCCGAAUUGAUUUGAUGUGUUUCGGCACAAGAUAUGGAAUUUGAAAGUUCAAAGUUCAUAGAUUUUGAUUUGAGGUGCGAUUCGUCGUUUUGAUGUUGUUAGGUGUGAUUUGAGGCCUCGAAUAGGUCCGUAUUAUGUUAUGGGACUUGUCGGUAUGUUCGGAAGGGGUCCCGAGGGGCUCGGGUGUGUUUCAGAUUGAUUUCAGAUCUUUUUUUUUCUUCAUGUUGUUAUUGCUGGUUGCUGCUGGUUCUGGUGAGACCGCACCUGCGGCUGGUUUGUGCAGGUGCGAUGGUCGCAGAAGCGACAAUGCAGUCGUAGAAGAGGGAUGGCAUCUGGAUGAGGAGGCCCGCAGGAGCAGAGAAAAGGGCACAGGUACGGAUGCGCAGGUGCGUCGAGUGGAAGCGCAGGUGCGAGGAUCUUCGCAGAUGCGGAGUUUAAUACCGCAGGUGCGGGGGUUGCUAGGCAAGGCUAUUAUUCACAGAAGCAAAGUUUUUCCGCAAAAGCGAAGGUCGCAGAUGCGACAUUUUUACCGCAUAUGCGAAAGUGCUGGGCAGAAUGUUAAAUACAAGGGUUCGCGAUUUUGGCUUCAUUUUAACAUUUCCAAGCUCGGAUUGAGGAGAUUUUUGGAGCAAUUUUCAUCACAGGAAUUGGGGUUAAGUGUUCUACACUUGAUUUUGAUCUUAUUCCAUGAAUCUAUCUUCAUUUUUGGCUAUUGGCUGAUGAAUUUUAAAGAGAAAUUAGGGGUUUUAGCCUAAAGUUUCAUAAUGUGAAUUUUUGAGUUUUGAAUAUCGAAUUGGAGUCAGAUUUGAGUGAAACUAGUAUGGUUGAACCCGUAAUUGAAUGGGGUGUCGGAUUUUGUGAUUUUUAUCGGGUUCUGAGGCGUGGGCACGAGUGUGACUUUUGGCCGGAUUUGGGUUUUGAUUAAGGAUUCGAUCUUUAUCCUUUGGAAUUGUUUCCUUGGGCUUUAUUUGAUGUAUUUGAGUUGCUUUUGGCUAGUUUUGAGCCUUUCAGAGGUCGGUACACGCGAGAUGGAAUUUUUGGAGCAUCGUUUAUCUUACUCGACAUUGGAUUUUUCUUGUUCGAGGUAAGUAACUCUUCUAAUAUUGGAGCUGAGAGUAUGAACCCUGAAUAUACGUGUUAUGUGUUUGGUGUUGAGGUGACACACAUGCUAGGUGACGGGCGUGUGGGCAUGCACCGUGUGAGUCGUGACUCCGUUAUUCCUGUGGUACUGUGAAGCUACCUGAAUUUGUCUGAAAUCAUGAAAUCUCUACGUACUAGAGUUACCGAAAUGUGAUUCAUGCUAUAAACUAUGUUUAGGAUACAUGCUCAUCCUGUUGGGACCCACCGAGAUCAUUUCUGCUGUUGAGUUAUCUGCUUUCAUUGCAUUACAUACUCAGUCAUACGCAUUCAUAUGCAUAUCAUAUCUCUGUCUCUACUGUUAUUUAUUGAUGCAUCAUAUCAUUAUUUUCGGGCUAGUAUCAUGACACUGUGAGCCCGUGAGAGAGAGACCGGAGAGAUUGAUGACUGAGUGAGGCUGAGUGCCUGAUUAUGAGUGACAUUUAUGGGAUAGGACUGCACGCCGCAGUGGUUAUACUAAUUUAUGAUAGCGCUUGGGCUGAAGGAGCCCCUCCGGAGUCUGCACACACCCCAAGUGAGCGUGAUUGAUAUUAUUGAGGGAUGGAUCUUCCCUAGAUAUGGAUCUUGUCCGAAGCAUUAUAUACCUAGAGAUGGAUCUUCUCCACGGGCUGGAUUGGCCCUACUCGGUACUGAGUGACUGAUGAUCAGUUGGUGUAUAUAUUCCGGGAUGGAUCUUCCCUGGGCCAGAUUGUCCAUAUACAGUACCGAGUGAUUGAGCAUGAUGAGUGGAAUGUAUGAGAAAGUGAGAUUGAGUACUCUGAGAGUGUAAGUACAUGAGUUCAUCUUUGAGAUACAUUGCAUUGACAUACAUGCCAUACAUGCAUAGAGAUGUAUUUUUCUCAUGCUGUACGGUAUCACGUCAUUCAUGACUUCUCACAUGUGUUGACACAUGGGCAUAGUGAUGCAUUGUUUUACCCUGGCUAUCUGGAAAGAAAAUGAAACAUCUUAUUUAUUAUUGAAAGGAGUUUUGGGAAAAUUACUAUUUUCAAACUUACUCAUAAUUUGGCAACUUCGGUAAACGAUUUGGGUUUUCACUUAUAUACUUGAAAGGCAGAACUAUUUUCAGAAAUCAUGAUUAAGCUAGGCAUUUUAUCUUUGAGUUAUUUCUUUUAUUACUUGCGUUAUGUUGUUAUGAACUAUUGUUGGUUACUGGAGUUGGACUCUGACCUUGGUACAAGCUCGCCACUACUUUCAACCUAAGGUUAGGUUUGUUACUUAUUGAGUACAUGGGGUCGGUUGUACUCAUACUACACUUCUGCACCUUGCGUGAAGUUGCUGUGUUCGUUGGGAGCUGGAUCUGAAGAUGUACCUGCGUUCCUGUUGUAGCUGCCUCUUGUUCAUGGUAGCCUUAGAUUCAUAAAACUCUGUUUAUGUAAUUUUCAAACAGACGACGUAUUUACUUCAUACCAGCUUUGUAAACUCUAUUCUUAGAAGCUCAUGAUUUGUACAACCAGUAUUUGGGGAAAUAUAUAAGAUUCAGAUAUUUUUUUACUUAAUUGCUUUAUUAAUUAUUAUUGGAAUUGUUUAGUGGUUAACUGGCUUACCUAGCAGGUUGGGUUAGGUGCCAUCACGACUAGUUGGAUUUUGGGUCGUGACAAGGAUCUACCCCUUGACUCGGGUUUUAACCUUAUGGGCCCAAGGUUGACUAUUGUUGACUUUUUGGGAAUUGGGUAAAGAUUUAAACUUUAUUAAUUGGAAUUGAUUCCUAUUGCGUGAUUUGAUAUGAUUGAGUUAUUGGGCUAGAUUUGGGCUGGACGGAGGUGAUUUUUAGAGAAAGGCUAUUUUUGAGGUUUGAUUUGGGCUUAUUGAGGUAAGUGUCUUGCGUAGCUUUGGUUAAGGGAUUUUUUUCCUAUUAAUUGAUGUUGUUUGCUGCAUGCGAGGGUGAUGUAUAUAUGAGGUGACGAGCGUAUAUAUAUGUUCCAUUUGUAUUCAUACUCGGGGUAGAUUCUAUCUUACUCUAUUCUUUAUUUGGUUGUGUAUUUUAUUUGAUUCCAUAUAUUAUUUAAUUAAUCGACGAUGUGAGUAUAAUAAACCAUGCUAGAGGAAUGUUGACGCUAUUGGUACCUUAUGUAGAACAUGAUGAGCAAGUCUUGAGACAUAUACUAUAUUUUUCUCGAGAUAGAUACACAUAGGUUAUGAACACACAUUCAGAUUUGUUCUUGUAAUGUGACUUCAUUGAGAUGUGUGCACUCCGUGAUACAUAUAUAAUCCUUUGUAUAACUACUUGAACUUGGUUGGUAUAAUUGAUUUUGUCAUAGUCAUGCUUUAUCCACAUUUUUAUUAUUAUUAUGUCCUUGUGCGCUUUAUAGAUGAGUUAUGAGGAUAUGCCGCAUGAUGAUUGUUGCACCCUAUUUUGCACAGGUUAAAAUAAAAUACAACUUGUGGUUCCUCUGAAGUUGAUGAAAGAAGAGUCACCACCUAAUAUUUUGAGGUACACUAGGGUACCUAUAAGUCUUUAAAGAUUAUUAUCUUAAUGGUCUACUAACCAGUGAGAUCCAGGUAAGAGUUCUUGUUACACUAAGGGGAAGGUAUUAGGCAUCCCUUAAAAUCUACCUGAGAUAGCUCCUUAAACAUAGGCUAGGUGCGGGGAAGGAAAUGCCUAUAUCCUAGUUGAUUAAUUGAUUAAAAUUUCUAAAAUGGUUUUUUAUGAAAAGCCUUGUAUGAGUAAAAAUUAUAUUAAUUCUAGUUUGAAAGCACAUCUUUUAUUUUGAGAAAAAGAAAUUAUAUUCCCAUUAGAAAUGGUAAGAUUUGUUUAAAAUUCUUAAUAAAAUGAGUGGUUAUUUCAAGAAAAUGUGUCUACAUAUUUAUUAAAACUGGUAUUCCUGAUUUGUUUAUUUGGAGGCUGUUUUACUAAAGACCAGUAUAUUUUCCAAAAGGUCUGCUUAAUCUUGGUUCUUCUAAAAAUCAGUGAUGUAUGAUUGCCCUUUUCUGUGUUAGAACAGUUCAGUUGCCUAUGAUCCAUUUUGAAAAUAUUUCAAAGGAGUUGUUUCUAUUUAAACUCGUUCAAGUUCUGUUGAUGCAUAAAACCAAACAAAACACAUUGGAAAAGAUAUGCAAGUGAAAGAAAGAUUAGUUGCCAAAAUAGUUAGUUUCAAAAUGUUUAUAUUUCAAAAGUGUUAGGGUUGUUAAAGUAAUUAAUUCUUGAAGCCACAAUUACUUUUUACCUAUUAGAUUCUGAUUUGCCUAAAAUCUACCUAAACGAUCAAGACAUCAAUGAAUUUCCAAUAUACACAGAAAGAAAGACAGUAAGAAUCAACAAUUAUUUUUAUAUAAAGAGAAGGAAGGCUAGACUCUCAUUAUUGGGCUGAAAGUUGGUCAGACCCAACUAAAAUUCUAAGUGGCAACAAAGCUUUGGUAGAUAGCAAGGAGACAACCCAAUUCUCGGACUUGGGCCUGAGUUCUCAAUGAUCUCAGCAUGCCCAGUGAUCCAUGCGAAGAAAAGAAAAGGAAAUGAUUAUAGCAUAUAAAAAUAGAAGGUAAAGUAAGAUAUACAUAUGAUGAAUAAGAACAUAAUCUAUAAGAAUAUAGCAAAGCCAAAUUUCAUUUAUGUUAAUCCCAUGAAGAUUAGUCAAGGUCAAUGACUAUGGGCUUAGGGUGAACCAUAUGUAUUUAUAAGGCCCCCUUAUGGACCCCAGACAAUUUAGAGUUCACGGGGGUCUCAUGGACCCGAGCAGUGGUUGUGCUAGGGAGGGGUCCCUUAAUCACAAAGUCAAGCUCACAUUAAAAUUCCCUUAAGCAUUUAACCUCACUCUUCUUCAGAGGUUUUAGCACAAACAAAAUAUCAACAUGGCAUUUCAACCAAACAAGUACCUAGGCAGCCUCACACAACCAAUACAAAAUACACUAGCAGAAGUACAUACGGUCUCAUAACACACUCCGAGAAUUCAAUUACACAGAAGCACCAAUUGACUCAAAGCAAAUAACCAUUCUAGGGAGUGAAGUCAUUACUGGGGUGCAAAGUCAUGAAUAAUCAAGGAUUAACACAUACUUGAGCUCUAAAACCAUAAUCAUUAUCAGACAUAGGUUACACAAGUUUCCAAAAUUUUAAUUGUUUUAAAGGCUUAAAGGUUGAUUCUGAAUCAUUCCAUGUGGCACAUCAUUUACAAAAUACUCAUAAGAGUCACAUAUACAAUCAGGAAAGGGUCAAAAAGAACAAACGAUUGACCAUAUACCCCUGUAAGCAAGCUAUUUACAAUUUCAUCUUCAGAGAAGUCACACUGAGUAGCUUAAGGCAUCAGUAAUUGGUAACGAUAAACAUAUGCACCCAUUUACUAACUUUACUAAAGGUCCAAUACUUCAUAGAGAACCUAUAAGAUAGAGUUCCCUUUAGGUAGGUUUAAGUUAUUAAAGUAAGUGACAAAAUACCACAGCAGUCGUAGAACAGAACAAGCACAUAGUUGAGAUUUUCAUAUCACACUAAGAACCUAUGCUAAAAUCAUACUCAAUAUCAGUCUUAAAGGAGUUAUUACUAACAGUAAAAAUACAUGAGAGCAUUAAGCAUUAGUAGAAUGGUCAAAAUCCAGUCUCACCAUUUAGAUCCUAUAGGCAUGACAUAUAGACAUGGUAAUGCACAUUGAGUAUACUCAUUCCAGUUAUCAGAUCCAGCAGUAUAUUCAAAUAUGGCAGAAAGAUCUUAUGGACAGUUUUCAAACACCACAUAGGCAUGAAAUAACAAGAAUGCUCAUUUAUACCUAGUUUAGGCAAAGUGGAUAUGUGAUAUGAAAGUUAACAUCUAUUUAUUCAAGCUACAAUGAUAAACUAACACAUAGAUCACCUUACUUUAACUGAAAAUCACAAACAUAAUACUUAUGAACAUGACUGUCAGUGGGAAUCACUCGACUAACCAGUCAACACAGUAUGAUGAGAGUCACAACAUGGUGCUAUGAGGAUCAUUCAAUUAGCCAAUCACACGACCAGCAUGGUAAGAAUGUUUUCAAUAACAUGACAAUAUAGGCAUAAAAAUCCUCCAGUUGACUAAACAAGGUGACAUGAAGGUUCAUAGAUAUCAUUCCAUUAAUAUGAUCAUACAAAAUAUGGGAAUCUAUAAGUGUCACCUAAUUAACAGAGCCAUAGUAGGGAUCAAAUAGGCUGCCAACAUAGAGAAUAACAUAGAAAGUUAACAGGACGAGGAUCACAAUAACAUUACUCUGAUUCAUUAAUAAAUAAACUAAUGAUAGUUUCAGUAUAAAAUAGACCUCAAUAGUCACUUCUUUGGAGCCUCAAACUAGGUGGUCCUCUUUAGCCAUUUAGGAACCACAAUUCACACUCAAUUUGAAGUAAUCAAACUCAAGCAAAAAAGAAAGAAAGAAAGGAAAUUAGAAAAGAAUUUUAGAGUAUUUUAGCAGCUAACAUUUACUAAGUUUCUUAGGUAGUUCGUCUUGUUCGGUGAAAGCAUUGAAGCUCCUAUUUAUAUUGGCCAUCGGAGCCUUAGGGUUCGUUUGAAUUCAAAGAGAUAGUGGGUUAUGGCAAUUGAACGCUGAUGAUAGCAAAGGGGAAAAAUAGAAGGAAAACAGAUGGGAGAUUAGAGUGACUUUUACCUUAGCAUGAAAUGGCGAAGGAAAUCGGCCGUUGGAGACCAAACCAUCGGUCAAAGCCCAUGUCUAGAGGUCACUGUGUUUGACCUCUAGACCAAGAAUCAUGAUAAUGGGAUUAAUAUCUUCAUGAAUCUACAGCUCUAUGCAUAGAUUUGGAUGGGAAUAGGAGGAAAUGAUUAUAUUCUCACCCUUUCACGUACAUGUCUAGGGUUUGGGGGUUUGAGAUUAAAAAUCAGAUGAGAAAAAAAGGAUAGGAUCGGCGAGAUUCUCGGUUGGAAGAGAGAUAGGGUGAAUUUUAGUCGAUUUUUAGUGACCUUGCACCAUUUUGUGCAAGGUUUCAGUGAUUGAUGGGUCUAAGAAGAUGAGAGAAAUGAGAGGGGAAAAGGAAAUAGAGGCGGCCGAUCUUUGGAUGAAAUGAUUAGGGUUUGGGGGUUGGUCUCUUAGUUAAAACGAGAGACGGGAGGGGAAGCCCUAG
rnacentral:lncRNA from 1 species